rnacentral:rRNA from 1 species
AUGCGUUGUUGUUCAACGCUUGACUUUGCCCGCGCGUUCGACUCGGUUUCCUGGGCCUAUCUGAUUGAGCUGAUGCAACGCAUGGGGUUUUCUCAGCGAUGGAGAAACUGGGUGGCCCUGCUGCUUUCAUCUGCUUCCUCCUCCUGCCUGCUAAACGGGUCACCAGGACAAAGCUUCUUCCACACCUGUGGUCUCAGGCAGGGAGACCCGCUGUCACCU